GGUAGUGCUCGCUCUUGUAAAAAUGCCUCCUGUUGCUUUACUGUUAGUACUGCUUUCAUGCCAACAGUGUUCCUCACGCUGUGUAAAACCCAGGAAGACGGAGUUCCACACCAGUGACUUGAAACUUGAAUAAGACAGACCCAGAAAUUGAGACAUGAAACUACAGAAUAGAACCUACUGAUUGUAAGGUGAAGUUUUUUUCCCAAAAAUGCCAAAACUACAUAAAGAAAAAAGUGAAGGUUCUCUCUCACUAGUUCCAGUGCUAACAACGAGGUAUGUGUUUGUAAUUCCAGACUUUUUUCCCUGUGUAUAUACUAUACGUGACUUACUGUAGCUUUUUUUGAAAAAUCAAAACAGUUUCACACAGAGACAGCCACACAAAAUGAGUCUUAUAAAGAUUUUUAGGAGAGAAGUUGUAAGUCAGCAUGGUAGAUUCAGAGGGAAAAAAAUCAAAGAAUUACUAUGGGCAAUAUGAAGAGAGGAAAAUAAAACCCGAAGGAGAUAAGAGAAAAGUCUAAAGCCAUCAGCGAAUGAAGAAUUAAAGGAAGACCUCACUAUGGCCCAGAGAGUUAAAGAGAGGCAAGAAAAACAGCAGAGAGAAAAAGAAAGAGGUCUAUUUUAUUCUCAGCGGUAUACCCAGGGCCUAGCAGAGUAACUACUUAAUACAUAUUUUUUUCCUGAGUUCCACUGUAUAAACUAGAUCAAACUAGAACCCAGGAAGGCAGAGACAAGUUUAGAACAGUUAAUGACACAAGAAAUUAGCUCAAGAAACGCAUUUUGAUAAUGAGGAAAAAAUUGACAUUUGAUGCUGGCUUUUGUGCACGGAAGAGAAAGAACAUAGAGGUAAAGUUAUAUGAGAAAAGCAAGACAGAGGAAAUAAGGUCAGUGAUGGUGGCAGAUAUAGAGGGAGAGCUAUAAAGUACUUGUGAGCGAAGAUAGCCAGACAGAAUGAAUUGUGGAGCCCUGGGGGAAUGAUAAACAUUUGUGGAGUUCUAGCAAGUGAC
rnacentral:lncRNA from 1 species